ensembl:antisense Gm12970 predicted gene 12970
UCAAUGACACCCAGAUUCCUGUCCAGGGAUGUGGGCCCUAUGGUAAGCAAGCUCCCCUAACCACCCACCCACCCACCCAUCCACAGACCUCUCUCCCCAGUGUCAUGGAGCUGUGGGUGUCACUGGGCUUCCCAGUACCUGGGCAGAAGGCUUCCUCCUGCCGGCUACCCCAUCUCCCCAGAUUCCCUGCCCAGGACCAAGCUAGAUGAGGCCUCAAGUUAGACAUGUCCCCACGGUCCAGAGCAGCCACUGACAGCUAUCUUUUAGACACAUUCCUUACUCAGAGUCCUUUCUAAGCCACCGACCAAGUCCCAAGAGAAGCUCGCCACCUCCUUCCACACCUUGUAGAGAGACAGGGCAGUGCAGUCCGGUCCCUCACUUCCUCAUCCGUGAAAUGAGAUGAAGAGAAGCCACAGCCUUCUCCUGGAGGAGACAGAUGCAGAGGAAAUGCCUGCUGAUGCCCAGAGAGGUUGGAUAACAUUGCCUAAGCCACACAGAGGACUGAAGAGAGAGGCUGGAGCAGGAAGACUGGGUGCAGAAGCAUUCGGACACAUAAAUUAGGUCAGCCGCCGGGGGCGAGG